GAUGAAUGCUGGCGGCGUGCCUUAGGCAUGCAAGUCAAGGGGGCACUAAAAAAUCGUAAGAUUUUUCAGUGCAACCGGCAGACGGGUGAGUAACGCGUAGGAAUCUACCUCUAGGUGGGACAUAGCUAUCCGAAAGGAUAGGUAAUUUCCCAUAGUCUCGUAAGAGUAAAGGACUUAACGGUCCGCCAAGAGAGGAGCCUGCGUCCUAUCAGCUUGUUGGUGGGGUAAAAGCCUACCAAGGCGAUGACGGGUAGCUGGACUGAGAGGUCGAUCAGCCACAACUGCACUGAAACACGGGCAGUACAUCUACGGAUGGCAGCAACCGGGAAUAUUGCGCAAUGGGGGAAACCCUGACGCAGCGACGCCGCGUGAAGGAUGAAGGCCUAUGGGUCGUAAACUUCUUUUGAUAAGCCGUUCACAGCUUAUAGAAUAAGCCUCUACUAACUACGUGCCAGAAGUCUCGGUAAUACGUAGGAGGCAAGCAUUAUCCGGAUUCAUUGGGCGUAAAGUGUGCGUAGGCGGUAUCGUGUGUCGUAUCUUAAAGACCAAGGCUUAACCUCGGAUCUGGGUACGAAACUGCGAUACUUGAGGUUUGACAGGGAUGCUAGAACAGUUAGUGUAGCAGUGAAAUGCGUUGAUAUUAACUGGAAUACCAAAGGCGAAGGCAGGCAUCUGGGUUUUACCUGACGCUGAGGCACGAAAGCUGGGGGAGCGAAACAGAUUAGAUACCUGUGUAGUCCUAGCUGUAAACGAUGUCCGCUAGCUAUCACUCACCAAGGGUGAGAAUAGCCAAUAAAUACCAAUUUCAAAUAAAUACCAAUAAUCCAAUAAUAAUUGGAAAUUGAAAAUUUGACAUUUGUAGUAUUGGAAAUUCCAAAAGUUCGCACUUUUGGUGAGUGGUGGUGUAAGCUAACGCGUUAAGCGGACCGCCUGGGGAGUACGGUCGCAAGACUAAAACUCAAAGGAAUUGACGGGGACCCGCACAACCUGUGGAGCGUGUGGUUCAAUUCGAGACAAAACGAAGAACCUCACCAAGGUUUGACAUACUAUCGUACAUUUCCUAAGAAACUAGGAGAAAUCCGUAAGGAUGAUAGUACAGGUGCUGCAUGGCUGUCGUCAGCUCGUGCCGUGAGGUGUUCCCUUAAGUGGGGAAACGAGCGCAACCCCCGCCAAAUGUUAAAUAUUCAUUUGGGACUAUCCUGUAUUUUAUACAGGGGGGAAGGAGGGGAAGACGUCAAGUCAGCACGGCCCUUAUACCUUGGGCCACACACACACUACAAUGGCGAACAACAACGAGUUGCAAGCGCGCGAGUGCAAGCUAAUCUCUAAAAUUUCGCCUCAGUUCAGAUUGGAGUCUGAAACUCGACUCCAUGAAGCCGGAAUAGGUAGUAAUCGCGGAUCAGCAAGCCGCGGUGAAUACGUUCUCGGGUCU
rnacentral:rRNA from 1 species